CACAGUUGGACAAGUUAGAGCAUCUUCAUGGACCAAAGGCACUGAAGAGUUGGAGCCGGGACUGUUGAAGACGAUUUAAAUGCGUGGUGAUCACCAGGACUGAGAUGUCACCUCAAGACUGGUCGGUGUGCUGGUCAGAGUUCAUGCUCUAAGAUUCCUUGCUGGACACCUACACAUCCUCGCCUCACGUGCAUUCAUGCUGCUGAAUAGGUUAUAUCUCUUUUUUGACAUUUGGCGAGUCUUCAUGGCUAACAGUGAUGAGCUAAUGAUUAUCGAGAGAUGCUGUACAACUUAAAGACACCUGCUUCCACCCAAAGAAGGUAACUCUAUACUAAUAAUAGCACAUUCCUGCAUGAAUUUGCCUGGGGGUAGAAGGCAUUUGUGAAUUAGGGGCCCAAAGUAACAGAAGUAUUACCAACAGGAAUGAGAACAGAAA